rnacentral:rRNA from 1 species
GAUGAACGCUGGCGGUGUGCCUAAUACAUGCAAGUCGAGCGAACAGACGAGGAGCUUACUCCUCUGACGUUAGCGGCGGACGGGUGAGUAACACGUGGAUAACCUACCUAUAAGACUGGGAUAACUUCGGGAAACCGGAGCUAAUACCGGAUAACAUGUUGAACCGCAUGGUUCAACAGUGAAAGACGGUCUUGCUGUCACUUAUAGAUGGAUCCGCGUCGCAUUAGCUAGUUGGUAAGGUAACGGCUUACCAAGGCAACGAUGCGUAGCCGACCUGAGAGGGUGAUCGGCCACACUGGAACUGAGACACGGUCCAGACUCCUACGGGAGGCAGCAGUAGGGAAUCUUCCGCAAUGGGCGAAAGCCUGACGGAGCAACGCCGCGUGAGUGAAGAAGGUCUUCGGACCGUAAAACUCUGUUAUUAGGGAAGAACAAAUGUGUAAGUAACUAUGCACGUCUUGACGGUACCUAAUCAGAAAGCCACGGCUAACUACGUG